rnacentral:tRNA from 1 species
GGCAGCUGGUCGAGGACGAUGCCGCCUUCGUAGGCCGGCACGAACAGUGAGUCGUUGAUAUGCAGUUCGAGAUCGUAUUUGCGG